rnacentral:misc_RNA from 1 species
UGAGGCAUCCUUAUUGCAGCGGUCUUUCUCCACACCCCUCCCCACCUUCUACGCUUCUACCCCCUCUCCGCCCCUCCACCCUCCUCGAGCCUGUCAGGACGUACACACCCAGUCUCACAUGUCUGGCUCUGUACAUGUUUUUGCGGGCGACACACGUGCUCGUGGGAACGCACGUUCAUUCGCGGCUGGGCGCUCUCCCUCUUCCACCGCUCGCCUUGAUCUCGGUGCUCGUGUGACUGGGCGGUCAAGAGCGGAUGGAAAGGGGGAGUGGCGGAUGGGUCCGAUGACGUUCAAGGCGAUGCGUGGGCGUUAGGGAGGCAGCCCAAUAUGCUUUGGCCCCUGUGCACUAGGAAUAAGUGGUGUUGUUGGUGGGGGAGGACAAUACCCACUCGUGGGUGUCUGCACACACCCAUAGACAUGCGCACACAUAUGUGCAUUUUUUUUCUCGUUUUUUUUUCGUACUCGUGUUUCAAUGCCUUUCCACGCUAUUCCCGCUUCUAUUCCACACUCCCCCGACUUCCCCCAACUCCCCACACACCCCCACUCCCUCGCCACUCUCUCGCCUCUGUGCUCUCUAACGUUUCCUUGUUUGUCUUCUCUUUGUCUGCCGUUCCUGCGUUUUCGUUUUUGUUUUUGGGCUUCCACCGUCAGUGACUUCGCCACCUUCUUGGCUUCUUCAUCCCUCCCCUCCCCUCUCCUCCCGUUUUCCUCGUCUGUGUGCCCCUUUCCAUGUGUGCGCGCAUGUUUCUGCGUGCCUGCCUGCCUGCCUGUGCGUGUGCGCGUCUUCGCGCUCAUCUUUUUCUCCACCGCCUUGCCUGUCUCCUGAAGCGGGGCGGGUUGGCACGGAAGAGAGCAAGACCGCCGCCCUCACCUUCCCGUUUCAUAACGGCGCCGCCACCACCGUCUCCUCGUUCCUCACAUUCCUGGACAACUCUCAUCCUCCCCUUCUUUUGAUCUACCUUUAUAUGUCUUCUUUCUUUCGCUUUCCUCUUUUUUUUCUAG